AUGGCAGAGCUGCAGAUGUUACUACAGGAGGAGAUCCCGUCUGGCAAGAGGACGCUCAUAGAGAGUUACCAAAAUCUGACCCGAGUGGCGGACUACUGUGAAAACAACUACAUACAGGCUACAGACAAGAGAAAAGCAUUAGAAGAGACCAAAGCAUAAACAACCCAAUCUCUAGCUAGUGUUGCUCAUCAAAUAAAUGCAUUGGCCAACAAUGUACUCCAGUUGCUGGACAUCCCUCCCCCCUUCGGAGAAUGGAAUCUUCCAUCAAUCAUAUCUCACAGACUGUGGAUAUUCAUAAAGAGAAAGUGGCUCGAAGAGAAAUUGGUAUUUUGACAACAAAUAAGAACACAUCAAGAACUCACAAAAUAAUAGCACCUGCAAAUAUGGAGCGCCCUGUAAGGUAUAUGCGGAAACCCAUUGACUACACAGUUCUGGAUGAUGUGGGCCAUGGUGUCAAGCAUGGAAAUAACCAGCCUGCAAGAACUGGCACACUGUCGAGAACAAAUCCUCCUACUCAGAAACCACCAAGCCCUCCUAUGUCAGGCCGGGGAACACUGGGGCGGAAUACUCCCUAUAAAACCCUGGAGCCUGUUAAACCCCCAACAGUUCCUAAUGAUUACAUGACCAGUCCUGCAAGACUUGGAAGUCAGCAUAGUCCAGGCAGGACAGCCUCUUUAAAUAAGAGACCAAGGACACACAGUGGAAGUAGUAGAAGAAGUGGAAGUCAAGAGAACAGUGGAAGCAGUAGCACUGACAUUCCCAUUGCUAUACCUACACCUUCUCCACCCACUGUUGGACCAGCAGCCGCGGGCUCAGCUCCUGGUUCCCAGUAUGGCACAAUGACCAGGCAGAUUUCUCCACACAACUCUACCACUUCUUUGACAUCUUCGGGUGGAUACAGACGGACUCCUUCUGUGACUGCUCAAUUUUCUGCUCAGCCUCAUGUUAAUGGAGGUCCAUUUUAUUCUCAAAAUUCAAUUUCUAUUGCUCCAUCCCCUCCCCAUAUGCCUCAAUUGACUCCACAGAUACCUUUCACAGGCUUCGUGGCCAGGGUGCAGGAAAACAUUGCUGAUAGCCCAACUCCGCCGUCACCACCUCCACCAGAUGACAUUCCCAUAUUUGAUGACUCUCCCCCUCCACCACCCCGCCCCCAGUGGACUAUGAAGAUGAGGAAGCUGCAGUAGUUCAAUAUAGUGACCCCUAUGCAGAUGGGGAUCCUACCUGGGCCCCCAAGAAUUAUAUUGAAAAAGUUGUUGCAAUAUAUGAUUAUACAAAAGACAAGGAUGAUGAGCUGUCCUUUAUGGAGGGUGCAGUCAUUUACAUGAUAAAGAAGAACGAUGAUGGCUGGUAUGAAGGAGUCUGCAAUCGAGUGACUGGUCUCUUCCCUGGAAACUAUGUUGAAUCAAUCAUGCACUAUACUGAUUAAUCUUUUUUUUUUUGCCUUUGAAGUAGAGUAUUACUCAUACUGCGGGACUAUUAUGGUUAACAGAGUUGUCUUAAUGUUCUAAAAUGUGCCCAUAUUUUCAGGACAUGCUGUCUAUUGGUAUAUUUGAAUGUCCACCUGUAAGCAUAAAUCUUUGUGGCAGUUUGUAUUUUGCUAAACAGCAAUUUAUACAAGGGGCUGCCCAUAAAUUAUUAUGCUUAUAUACUUCAACAUUGUUAACUUUAUGUCCAGCCUAAAUAUUCUGGGGAAGUGAGAUAUAUUUAACAAAUCAUGAUUUAGACUGUACCAUUACAUGUUUCAGUGCAGCAUGGUUACUAAUGCUAUGUCAGACUAAUAUUAAAAUCAGAAAACCUAAAUGCUGGUUCUGGUCAUACUUUUUGUUUAUAUUCUCUCAUUUUUAAAAACUGUUCAAAGCAUGCAUAAGAAUUUAUUAAAUGUACUUAAAAAUUCCAAGAUGCUUCCAAUUUAUGUACUACUUUCUGGAGUACUCAUAUUAGAUGAGUCGCUAAGGUCUUCUUGUGAAACAAACAAAAAAAUUAUCUUGUAAUGUUGUAAUUUGUAACUUAAGUUUUUUAAGGAGUGAAUUUGCAUUAUAAAUUUUUCCAUUCAUAAAUACAUAAGUGA